AACCAACGCAAACUGACAUGCUCCAGGCAUCUCUGGGCGAGUACCUCUUUGAGUGCCUCACUCUCAAGCAUGACUAGGAGG
rnacentral:pre_miRNA from 1 species